AGUGCAGUGGUGAGAGCACAAUCGUCGCCCUGAAUGGGGAGAUGGGCGCUUGGGAGCGUCACCCCACAGCACAAGAGCUGGGAGAGGGGUCAGGGGAUGGCUGUGAGCAGGCAGCCCAUCUGCAAGGGGAUGGAAAAAUGGAAUAAAGCCAUGGCGGGUAGCGCUGAAGUACCCAGCAGAUUUUAAGGUGGGAUUGUCAUCUCAGUGGGAAUUUAAUUAGAAAUAUUUAGGGCUUGCUGCUCGAUCUUCUGGAUGUGAGGAAGAAAAAGUUCCAGCAAAGCAGAAGACUGUGGAAAUAAGGAAGAAAAAAAAUAAACACUUUGAGAAUCAACAGAAGCAAAAAUACUUCUGAAAGAGAAGAAAUUUGGGCAAAUCUUGAAGGCACUUUCACAUGAAACAAACAAAACGCAAGCAUACUGAGCUUGCCUGGGCUGUAGGAUCAAGUGGUAUUAAAUUCACCUGGGAAACUCUCCUGUGCUCAUUACAGAAAGCUGGGGGCUUUUGAAGUGGUAACCUGGUGGUAACCUGUACUUACAGGUGGUAACUUGUAAGUUGCUCACACUCUUUUUAAAGGUUAAAGCCCUGAUAGCACCUUUGUGGCACUGGGUGAUGUAUGGGCUGGUGGUUGGACUGGCUGGUCCUUGUAGUCUUUUCCAACCAUAAUGAUUCUAUGAUAAUAAAGAGAAUUUUGAAGGUGGAAGUGCCCUUGCCUUCUCCAAACUGAGACACAACAGCUGGGCCUGUGUUGUUCCCUCUAACAUGUGUGUUCCACCAGAAACCUGUCUGAAAAGAAGAGGUUAUGAUAAGAUAUUUGGACUCCAGUUGGCGUUUUGUUUGGGUAAUGUAUUUAGACUGCGUGGGUGUGGAAGGUUUUUCACUUGUUCCACACAAAGCAAAGAGAAACCCUGCCAUUGCUUCUGGUUUACGUUGGAAAAGGAAUGCAGGUAAUAUAAUUUCUGGGCUGAUCAAAGCAGCCGGGGAAAGGAGCAAAUCUGGUUUUUUUAUGUCAUGACUACAGGUAACUAUUCUAUAAUGAGUUACUAUGUUAUUGCAUUUCUUUUUCCACCAUCCUUCCUAGCCUGAAAGUGCCAGGAAAACUUUUGCCAAAGUGACUUACAGAGUGCUCGGAAGAAGCAUCAGUAGUUGCUCUCGCUGGUUUUCUUCCCCUGAGUUCCCAGUAGUUGGGCAAUGAGGGAGAGGAAGAACGAAGGUGCUUAAACCCAGCUCCUGAAGUGCUGCGAAUGUGGGGCCAUCGUGGCUUUUAAAUGAGUUUCUCCCUUGCAUUUUACAGAUAUUUGACAGCUGAAUACUGAAGUCAAAAUGUCCUUUAUCUAAAUGACAGAAUCUCUCUAGUUAUUUUAGGGAUUUCAGAAUAACUUCUCUGAUGUUCCCGGCUGGCAGUGAUGUGAAACAGAGAACGAACGAUGUUGCUGGGUCCAAAAGCAAUGAGGUUCAAUGAAGUUAAACAGCCCACACAAAAUGAUGUAAAAUAAAUUAGAUUUAAAAAAUUCUUCCAUUUCUCAUAGCUGUUAACAAAUAAUGCUUUCAAGUCAAACUACCAGGCUGCGUUCUGUAGUUCUUAUUGAUUUCAGUUGGAACUCUACCUAAAUAAAAUGUGCCCACUU
ensembl:lncRNA